CUAAAUAUGAGUGGUCACUUGCAAACCUCAACUUUGGCCAGAGUUCUGAUAAUUGUGCUGGUCAUCUUUCAUGACGUCAGCGGUCACGGUCGGCUGAUUGAGCCCCCGUCCCGAGCCUCGAUGUGGCGUCUGGGGUAUGACACGCCCCCAAAUUAUGACGACAAUCAGCUGUUCUGUGGGGGUGUGGGGAUCCAGUACGGCCAGAACAACGGCAAGUGUGGGGUCUGUGGCGACCCCUGGAACGGCCGCCGGGAGCACGAGGCGGGGGGCAUCUACGCCAACGGGAUCAUCGUGAGAAAGUACGAGGUGGGCGAGCCCAUCAAGGUUAAGAUCGAGCUGACCGCCAACCACAAGGGCUACUUCGAGUUCCACAUCUGCCCCACCGACAACCCGUUCCAGAAGAUCACAGAAACCUGCCUGAGGAAGCACCCGAUGACCGUGGUCACCACUGGCAAGGUGCGGUACCAGGUGCCGGAGGGUGAGUACUACUCUCAGCAAACCUACGAGCUGUACCUCCUCCCACCGAAGAACCUCCGGUGCAAGGCGUGCAUGCUGCAGUGGAAGUACAACGCCGGAAACAGCUGGGGAACGGACAAGAACGGCGUCAGCUGUAUCGGAUGCGGGGACCAGGAGCAGUUCUACGGCUGCGCGGACAUCGCUAUAGGGCACGAUGACGUCGUACUGGGCAAGCCUGCGGUCAAGCACCCGUGGUACUUCCAGGAGGAGACGGACAUUGAGUGGCACAUCGGGGUGGUCCACUUCAAGAACGGCACAAAGAACUCCAGCCCGGACUUGCAUGCCAGGUCUGGCAUCUCGUAUCGUCUGCUGGCAUGUCUGCUCACGUAUGUCGUCACGGUGUGGACCAUUCUCACGUCUUAAAGUUCACAUCGUGAGUCGCACUAGGACUGUGCCAGGUUUUCUGACAAAUAACAAAAACAUUGCCAAAUUUCUCUGACAAAAAACUAGAACAUUGCCAGGUUUUCUGACAGUGUUCCAUAAAAAGUGCCAUAUUUUAUAACACAACGCUUGGCAUUAACCAGAAUUCUAAAACGAAUUCCGAUUUAUGAUUUAUCAUUGAUUCUACGAUGAACACUUACGAUGUAUAGGUGCUUCUAUAUUUCUGCCGAACUGGACGAUUCCACUGAUAUUUUCAUGUAUGCCUAUUUGUCUCAUUGCACAAAUUGUGUGAAAUGUUCAGUAUUUGCUUACAUUGACAAGGGAUAUAUUUGUUUUAAAAAAAAACUUUUAAAUUAGAAUGCCAUAUCAGACUUCUACUGUAAAUACCAGCCUUUGUCAAUGAGAAUUGUUUCAACCUUCUGCAUACAGGUCCAGUAUGUCUGUGAUAGAACCAUGUAGGGUUAGAGCGGAU